rnacentral:rRNA from 1 species
AGUGAACGCUGGCGGUAGGCCUAACACAUGCAAGUCGAACGGCAGCACAGUAAGAGCUUGCUCUUACGGGUGGCGAGUGGCGGACGGGUGAGGAAUACAUCGGAAUCUACUUUUUCGUGGGGGAUAACGUAGGGAAACUUACGCUAAUACCGCAUACGACCUACGGGUGAAAGCAGGGGAUCUUCGGACCUUGCGCGAUUGAAUGAGCCGAUGUCGGAUUAGCUAGUUGGCGGGGUAAAGGCCCACCAAGGCGACGAUCCGUAGCUGGUCUGAGAGGAUGAUCAGCGACACUGGAACUGAGACACGGUCAGGGCUCCUACGGGAGGCAGCAGUGGGGAAUAUUGGACAAUGAGCGCAAGCCUGAUCCAGCCAUACCGCGUGAGUGAAAGAGGCCUUCGGGUUGUAAAGCCCUUUUGUUGGGAAAGAAAAGCAGCAGGUUAAUACACCGAUGUUCUGACGGUACCCAAAGAAUAAGCACCGGCUAACUUCGUG